UACGUAGGGGGCGAGCGUUGUCCGGAAUUAUUGGGCGUAAAGCGCGCGCAGGCGGUUUUUUAAGUCUGGGGUAUAAGCCCGGGGCUCAACCCCGGUUGGCCCUGGAAACUGGGGAACUGGAGUGCAGGAGAGGGAAGCGGAAUUCCACGUGUAGCGGUGAAAUGCGUAGAGAUGUGGAGGAACACCAGUGGCGAAGGCGGCUUUCUGGCCUGUAACUGACGCUGAGGCGCGAAAGCGUGGGGAGCAAACAGG
rnacentral:rRNA from 1 species